UACGAAGGGGGGCUAGCGUUGCUCGGAAUCACUGGGCGUAAAGGGUGCGUAGGCGGGUCUUUUAAGUCAGGGGUGAAAUCCUGGAGCUCAACUCCAGAACUGCCUUUGAUACUGAGGAUCUUGAGUUCGGGGAGAGGUGAGUGGAACUGCGAGUGUAGAGGUGAAAUUCGUAGAUAUUCGCAAGAACACCAGUGGCGAAGGCGGCUCACUGGCCCGAUACUGACGCUGAGGCGCGAAAGCGUGGGGAGCAAACAGG
rnacentral:rRNA from 1 species